GUCACAUCAGGAAGUCUUAGGAAUGAACUAGAGCAAUAUACAUCAGGUACAUCCACUUAAUAUAGAGAUUUUCUCUAAAAUAAACAUUCGUUGCAAGCUGACGAACUCUCGCGAUAACUACAGUAUUAUCAGCAUCGCUCUGUUUUACUGUUGCGGUUUAUUAAACCUCUACAAAAACAACACAAAUAAUCACUACAUUACCUACAGCUUCUUUUAUAAGUCACACAAAGCUUAAGGCUUUAAUUUAUGGUAGUACUGACCUGUGAAGGCAGAGUCACAGCAUCUACUACGGACUAAACAACUACAGUGCUAAAGGUUCCACUUACCAUUCCGCUCCUUUACUCUACAGGUUUUACAUAGAAAUGUGUCUAAUAAAUCUAGAAUUAAGCUCUUAUUUCACAAAAUAGAAUUUUAUUAUUAUUAUCAUUAUUAUUACUUUCAUGAAUCUCACUGGGUGGGCAAUCUGUCAAUCUGGGUGGGUCUGUGCCCAUCCAGGCCCACCCAUAGCUCCGCCCUAUGUACCAUGUGUCGAACUCUAAGAACUGAAUAAACAGUAAUGGCUUGUUUGGUUUUGACACAUUUCAAUGUUGCUUUUAAAGUUCAUCCCGUCAAUUAUCCAACUAUGAAUGAAAUAAAGACUAAUAAAUAAUACAGAAAAUGAACAAAUUGACAAAUAAAUAAAUAAACUACGUUUUUGAGGAAAGAACGAAACGGCUGCCUCACCCACGCCGCUAGGUGGCGGUACUGAUCGUCUUGGUGACCCCUACUGGUUCAGUGACGUAGGCGUGUGCGUCACUUUGGUUUUGUCCAUUAUUUAACCGCCACAGCGCUGCUCCAGACGCCAUGUUUUAAAGUCCCUUCCCAGCAGUGUGAAGUUAGCUUAGCAGAGCCGCUGAGAUGUCUGCGGAUGCCUUUCAGAGCGAGUACGCCUCCGUCAUGGACAGCAUGAUGAGGACCGCCAUGGCACAGACCACCAAGCUGGUGGAGAGCAUGGUGAACGACCUGAGGGCCGAGAUAUCCCGAGUAAGGACCGAGAACGAGCUCCUGCGCUCGGCGUGCGGGCGGCCGGACGAGCAGAAGAACCAGGGAAACCAUCCAGCUGUUCAUGCCGGAGACACAAGGCUUCUAUCGGCUGCUCAGGCCGAGGAUUACCGAAGUGUGGCGGAAAAACACGACCGAGCUGUGCAGUGCGAUUUGGCCAACAUGGCGGAGCUGGCACCGCUCCAACAACACCAACACGUCACAGAGAAAAGAACUAAGUACGUCCUGAGGCCUCACAAAAGUGUCACAGACGACGAUGGGAACUCCCAGAUGACGUUCACUCUGGUCAAGCAUGAGCAUUCAGACGCCGUGUGUUCUAUAGAUCCAAUGUUCGUAUCGAGUGAUCCAGCGUUUGCUGAUGAGACCCAGGACCUAGAGCUGUACACGGUGGAGGAGAAGCCCACACUAAUGCUCAUCCAGAAGUUUGAAGAAACCACAGCCACGCCCAUUUUUGAAAAGGAACCCAGCCCCCCGCGCUCCCCCAUCAUUUCCAUCGCCACAGUGAUGAGCAUCACUGAGGAGGAGUUUGACAGCGUAGGACGACCAAACUUCAGCCUACAAGAAACCAGCAUGGUGUUGGCAAGCGAAGCCCCCAAUGUCCCAGAGAGACCCACGCUACUGCCCCCCUGCCUCUUCGAACACUCCUACGCCCAGAAAAAACGAGGGGCGCCUCCUCGCAAGAGACGCAGGAGGAAAAGAUUGGUGCCAAAGAAACAGCGUAAAAACCCUCGUCCAAAGGUCUCUCCGAUUCCCUCCCUCAGCGUUUCCAACAGUCCUCACCAUUUAGAAGUUAAUGUGGCGGGAAAACGCACAACUGGGCGUGCACGGGCCUUAAAACAGGAUGAAGAGGAGGAGGAGGUGACCGAUCAUUCAUCAGAUCCAGAGGACGAGCAGCGUGUGAUGGUACCACUGACGCUGACUCAGCCAAUAGCAGAGCAGCCACAGUCACACACAGAGGCAGAGGAUGAGACACAAAUUAAGUCCAACUUUGUCCUAGUUUGGGAUGAUCCCGACUCUCUGGAUGAGGCUCCCCACGUGAACCCCAUCCCCGAACCUCUGGUCCACAAUGCACCUGUUGAAUCGACACAGGAGACUGUUCCCACUGCUGAUAAUUUAACAUAUAUAGAUCUAACCGCAACGUCGGAGGACGCUUUACUUUCAGAUCACUUUGAUCUCCAGUCAGGAAUUAUGCUUCUAGCCACUGCGUCAGAACAACAAACCCAGAGAGAUGACCUGAGGUCCUGUCAAAGGCAAGAGAAUGCACAGACGUGUGGUUUAUUCUUGGGAGGUGAGCCUGAGCCACCUCAAGAACCAGAGCAAGAACAAGUGAGAGAAGCAGAAGGCAAACGCGCGAGGGAAGAAGCAAAACGAGUUCGGGAGGAGGAAGCAAAACGAGUGCGGGAAGAGGAACUAGUACAGAAAGAAGCAAAACGAGUUAGAGAAAAAGAAAAACAAGCGCGAGAAGAGCAACGAGUACAGGAGGAAGCAAAACGAGUUCGAGAAGAAGUGCAACGAGUGCAAGAAAAACGAGUACAAGAAGAAGCGAAACGAGCGCGAGAAGAGGAAACAAAACGGGCGCGAGAAAAGGAACGAGUUCGAGAAGAAGCAAAACGAGUGCGAGAAGAAGCAAAACGAGUGCGAGAAGAAGCAAAACGAGAGCGAGAAGAAGCGAAACGAGCGCGAGAAGAGGAAGCGAAACGAGCGCGAGAAGAGGAAGCGGAACGAGCGCGAGAAGAGGAAGCGGAACGAGCGCGAGAAGAGGAAGCGGAACGAGCGCGAGAAGAGGAAGCGGAACGAGCGCGCGAAGAGGAAGCGGAACGAGCGCGCGAAGAGGAAGCGGAACGAGCGCGCGUACAGGAAGCGGAACGAGCGCGAGUACAGGAAGCGGAACGAGCGCGAGUACAGGAAGCGGAACGAGCGCGAGAAGAGGAAGCGGAACGAGCGCGAGAAGAGGAAGCGGAACGAGCGCGAGAAGAGGAAGCGGAACGAGCGCGAGAAGAGGAAGCGGAACGAGCGCGAGAAGAGGAAGCGGAACGAGCGCGAGUACAGGAAGCGGAACGAGCGCGAGUACAGGAAGCAGAGAAACUAGCGCACGCACAGGAAGCAGAGAAACUAGCGCGCGCACAGGAAGCAGAGAAACUAGCGCGCGCACAGGAAGCAGAGAAGCCAGAGCAAGAAACUAGCGCGCGCACAGGAAGCAGAGAAACUAGCGCGCGCACAGGAAGCAGAGAAACUAGCGCGCGCACAGGAAGCAGAGAAACUAGCGCGCGCACAGGAAGCAGAGAAACUAGCGCGCGUACAGGAAGCAGAGAAACUAGCGCAGGAAGAAGAAGCUAG
ensembl:lncRNA